AAAUUGAAGAGUUUGAUCAUGGCUCAGAUUGAACGCUGGCGGCAGGCCUAACACAUGCAAGUCGAGCGGUAGCACAGAGAGCUUGCUCUCGGGUGACGAGCGGCGGACGGGUGAGUAAUGUCUGGGAAACUGCCUGAUGGAGGGGGAUAACUACUGGAAACGGUAGCUAAUACCGCAUAAUGUCGCAAGACCAAAGUGGGGGACCUUCGGGCCUCAUGCCAUCAGAUGUGCCCAGAUGGGAUUAGCUAGUAGGUGGGGUAACGGCUCACCUAGGCGACGAUCCCUAGCUGGUCUGAGAGGAUGACCAGCCACACUGGAACUGAGACACGGUCCAGACUCCUACGGGAGGCAGCAGUGGGGAAUAUUGCACAAUGGGCGCAAGCCUGAUGCAGCCAUGCCGCGUGUGUGAAGAAGGCCUUCGGGUUGUAAAGCACUUUCAGCGGGGAGGAAGGCGUUAAGGUUAAUAACCUCAUCGAUUGACGUUACCCGCAGAAGAAGCACCGGCUAACUCCGUGCCAGCAGCCGCGGUAAUACGGAGGGUGCAAGCGUUAAUCGGAAUUACUGGGCGUAAAGCGCACGCAGGCGGUCUGUCAAGUCGGAUGUGAAAUCCCCGGGCUCAACCUGGGAACUGCAUUCGAAACUGGCAGGCUAGAGUCUUGUAGAGGGGGGUAGAAUUCCAGGUGUAGCGGUGAAAUGCGUAGAGAUCUGGAGGAAUACCGGUGGCGAAGGCGGCCCCCUGGACAAAGACUGACGCUCAGGUGCGAAAGCGUGGGGAGCAAACAGGAUUAGAUACCCUGGUAGUCCACGCCGUAAACGAUGUCGAUUUGGAGGUUGUGCCCUUGAGGCGUGGCUUCCGGAGCUAACGCGUUAAAUCGACCGCCUGGGGAGUACGGCCGCAAGGUUAAAACUCAAAUGAAUUGACGGGGGCCCGCACAAGCGGUGGAGCAUGUGGUUUAAUUCGAUGCAACGCGAAGAACCUUACCUGGUCUUGACAUCCACAGAACUUUCCAGAGAUGGAUUGGUGCCUUCGGGAACUGUGAGACAGGUGCUGCAUGGCUGUCGUCAGCUCGUGUUGUGAAAUGUUGGGUUAAGUCCCGCAACGAGCGCAACCCUUAUCCUUUGUUGCCAGCGGUUAGGCCGGGAACUCAAAGGAGACUGCCAGUGAUAAACUGGAGGAAGGUGGGGAUGACGUCAAGUCAUCAUGGCCCUUACGACCAGGGCUACACACGUGCUACAAUGGCAUAUACAAAGAGAAGCGACCUCGCGAGAGCAAGCGGACCUCAUAAAGUAUGUCGUAGUCCGGAUUGGAGUCUGCAACUCGACUCCAUGAAGUCGGAAUCGCUAGUAAUCGUAGAUCAGAAUGCUACGGUGAAUACGUUCCCGGGCCUUGUACACACCGCCCGUCACACCAUGGGAGUGGGUUGCAAAAGAAGUAGGUAGCUUAACCUUCGGGAGGGCGCUUACCACUUUGUGAUUCAUGACUGGGGUGAAGUCGUAACAAGGUAACCGUAGGGG
rnacentral:rRNA from 1 species